CGUUAAAUUGUAUUAUUUAUAAAAUUGUACAGAUGUGAUCUAGAAAUAAUGAUUUUUGUUAUUUUUUUAGAUUCUUCCAAAACAUCGAUUGAAAAAAGUGGAAACAUGAAAAGAAUAAACGCAUGCACUUUUCUAAAUGAAGACAUAAACAUUUCCUUUUCAUUGAUUGGAACCUCGAUUUGCUGCUUGACCAAGCACGAGUAAGGCUACUACUGAUCAGCAAAAAAAAACAGCCUAGAAUCUUUGAGAGAACACGAUCGAGAGAAAGAGAGAGAGAGAGAGAGAGAGAGAGAGAGAGAGAGAGAGAGAGAAAGAGAGGAGGAGUAACUAGGAAAAGUCGAGGUUCAUGGGCGUGACAAUUGGCCGGAUGUGUUUUCCAUUGUCCAAGUUUUGCGGCCUGUCCUGUGGCAUGGUUUUCUUUUUAUACCGAACCUUCGAUCGAUUUCGUAGGAAACGGCUGGAAAACUUGGACAUUGUUAGAUACGACGUUAAAGGGACUUGUCGGUUUGCUAAAUACCUAGCGAUAACUUUUCUUUGUUGAACGUGUCUGAAAAGAUACACACACACUCAUACGCUGAAGCUUUAGAGGAUCAUGAGACAAUAGGACACAGACACAACGAUGAGCUUCCAUGCAAGCUAUUACCUCACUUCCGCUAACACAAAUCUGCACUUUAGCGGCGUAAAGCUGACACGAUGUUUUUAGCUGAAUCUCCGCCUACCAGAGAACGACUUAUUCAACCCUCUGAUAUAAGCUCGAUAUCGUGAUCGUAUCGUUAGUAAGAAAAUCAGUGUAUAAACAGUAAACGAUUGGAUAGUUGCCAAGAAUCUUCAGAGAAGUACUUCGCAGGAAGGCUCUCGUUGCGUUCACUUACCUUCAGGAGGGAAAUCUUUGGUGGUUCUGAAAGUAGGGGUACAUUUCACCCCUCCUGCUGCCGGUAGCAGCGUUAUCGACCACUGUCGCAAAAGCCACGCCUUUGCCCAGGUGAGAGGACAAGAGAAGUAGAACGUAAAGGGAGGCCGACCCUUCGCUAUCUCUUUCUUUCUCAUUUUCUGAUGACGAUUCUCUCUUCUCAUUCGAGUUUCUUUUACGAUGAAGAAGAUCCGAUGCUUGUACGGUGUAUAAUCGAGCUGGCUAAGGGCAACACCCCAGCCCUUUUUAUCCCAAAAAGCAAAGUACUAUUUCGUUCAAAUAUACUUUCAGCUUGUAUUGUUGCAAAUGUUUGCGUUUAACAGGCUUACCAAACAGGCAACUGCGUUUCGAACUGUAUUGUAUCCAGAUUUUAGUAAACGUCGGCUUAAGGGUGAGAAAGAGUGAAAGAGAGGGAUAUAGCUUCUCGCAGGAGGUGUCCUUUAGAACGGAAUAUUCGAAGGAAAUUGAGCGGCAAAUCAAUGCACGCGCUAACGCCAAACUUCAAUGAAAGUGUUUUCAUGACAAUUUUGGGCUAUAGUAAAUCCUUCGAAGAUAAUCUUCGGGAUUUCGAAUGAAAAAAAUGUCGAACGGGAUGUUUUCUAAUACUAUUAUUAUUGUUAGAGAUUGUUAA